CCCCUUCACGCGUUUGACGUUUGUUGGCAAACAGUUCCGGCGGCUGGGGGCUCCGGGGGUCGGCGGGGUGGUCGCCGCGUGGGCGGGGGCGGGCUGGGGCGCGAGGAACCCGCGGUUGCAGUUUAUGUGAGCAGCGGGGUGUUGGCGCUCCUGGCUGCGCGGCCUGCGGUGGCCUCCCCGGCUGGCGGACGGGCCCGCGGCCCCAGGACGGGAGAGAUGGGGCGGCCAGGGUUUUUGCAAGAUGCCGCGUUGGCCUGGGUGACUGCGGAGCAUCUGCGGAAAGCCCGCUGCUUGUCGGGUGCCCGGGCGCUGGCGGAGGGCUUUCCGGGGGUCCUGGGGCUCCCCCAGCCUCCAGGUGCAGGUGUAGUUCCGUGCGGAUCCUGAGUGCGUAGGUCGGGGGUGGGCCCGAGAGCUGCGCGACCUGCAGACUCCAGGAGACGGUGCCGGUGCUCGGAGCAGCGGUGGAGGCCGGGGACCUCCCCCCCCCCCCCCCCCCCCCGCCAGCGCCCUGGGAAAGCUCGGGAGCCGGACUCCGCAUCUGACGUCGCAGCACGCGAGCUUCACCGCAAGACCCGGCCCCGCGUGAAAAUGUGUGUUGUUUUGCGGUGACACAUUGGGAAGGUUUUUGAAGACGACUUUGCCUCGCAGGAUUGGGCUGCCUCGACUUGUAACUUAGCUUUGGCUCUGGUACCUCGCUGUGUACGUCCUCACUCGUCCUCGGCACAUCCUUGGGGCCGAGGAAGCUCAAUUUACAAGUUGCUUUCAAAUGUAACGAAAUAUUCUUAUGAAUUCUGUUUAGCAACGGUAGCAAUACAUAAUGGUGCAUUUUGUAGACACUUCCAACAUGUAUUGAUUUUGAUGGUUACUGGGUUUUUUGUUUGUAUUUUGUACUCCUUCUUUUGGCAGGGUGAUACGUUAGUUAUUGUACUAAAAACUUGAACAGAAUUUAUGAUAUCAGGCAUUAGGAAGAUGGCUAAGUCCUUUUUUUUUUUUUUUAAGAUUUAAUUUAUUCAUUCAUGAGAGACACAGGCAGAGGGAGAAGCAGGCUCCAUGCAGGGAACCCCAUGUGGGACUCGAUCCUGGGUCUCCUGGGUCACGCCCUGGGCUGAAGGCAGGCGCUAAACCGCUAAGCCACCCGGGCUGCCCUGGCUAAGUCUUUUUUGGUAUAUAAUACCCUUAACCUGGGAAAUUAUUACCUUCUUUUUCAGGAAUGUUGAAGAACAUUUCAGUUCAUGCGAUGUUAAAAUUUUAAAAAUCAAAUACGCAUCAUCAUCCUAAUUUCUAAAACAUGUCUUUUUCGUGUGUGUGUCCAUAAAAACAUCUCUGAGUGGUAAAUAAAAUGAUUUAAAAUUUA